GCUGGUUCUGCACAGGACUGACAACUUCCAGCUUCAGAAGUGCACACAUUGCCUGUGAGGUUACAUCCCUGGGUCUGUUUGUAGAGACAGGCUGCUGUGCUGGUGGAGUAGGCUGUUAGUCAAAGCCAGGGAGAGUGCUACAGUCAGCUAAGAAGGUCAAAAAGGCAAAGCCUUCAGUGAUCAGAAGCAUUUUGGGGUUGUAACAGCACUCAGGCGUUUCUGAACUUUCCUGUUUUUUUCCUUUCCUGAACUUUUCCUUUCAUGUUUUUUCCCCCAGGGCUGUUAAAAAUAUAUCUCUCCUUUUAAGAUUGUGACAGAGGUGUACAGAUAGUUCUGUGAAGAAUUACUUAUUUUUUCACCCCCCCCUUUUUUUUUCUUUCAGAUUUUCAACUUUCAGUGUCAUUUCAAAUUUCAGGAAAUAAAUGUGGAAAACAGACUGAUGACAGCUUUGUGACAUCCACCCCUCUGCCUCCGAGUGCCUUUUAUCCAACAGGAAAACAAAGCAUGCAGUUAAGGAAGACUGGAAAAAUUAAGGAUUUCAGGGGCAAUAUAAAGAGGAGAAAAAUGGCAAUGGACUGCUCUGCUUCUAAUGACAUCAAGUGAUUUGAAUCUGACACUGAUGGGAUAAUUUGAGAAGCUACCAUCAAUUCUCUCAAAUCUUUUUCUCCUUGCCUUCCCACUGGGCUGAAAAAGAAAGAUACCACAGAAGUAGCUGUUGCCCAGGAAUUGAGCAGGAAAGCCUUCAUUUCCAC
ensembl:lncRNA